rnacentral:tRNA from 1 species
GGUGCUGUGGCACAGAGGGUUAAAGCUCUGGCCUGCAGUGCCAGCAUCCCUGGCGCCGGUUCAAGUCCUGGCUGCUCCA